rnacentral:rRNA from 1 species
CCUGGUUGAUUCUGCCAGUAGUCAUAUGCUUGUCUCAAAGAUUAAGCCAUGCAUGUCUAAGUAUAAGCAAUUAUACAGCGAAACUGCGAAUGGCUCAUUAUAUAAGUUAUCGUUUAUUUGAUAGUACCUUACUACUUGGAUAACCGUGGUAAUUCUAGAGCUAAUACAUGCUAAAAAUCCCGACUUCGGAAGGGAUGUAUUUAUUAGAUUAAAAACCAAUGCCCUUCGGGGCUCACUGGUGAUUCAUAAUAACUUCUCGAAUCGCAUGGCCUUGUGCCGGCGAUGGUUCAUUCAAAUUUCUUCCCUAUCAACUUUCGAUGCUAGAGUAGUGUUCUAGCAUGGUUACAACGGGUAACGGAGGGUUAGGGCUCGACCCCGGAGAAGGAGCCUGAGAAACGGCUACUACAUCCAAGGAAGGCAGCAGGCGCGCAAAUUACCCAAUCCCGACACGGGGAGGUAGUGACGAUAAAUACUGAUACAGGGCUCUUUUGGGUCUUGUAAUUGGAAUGAGUACAAUUUAAAUCCCUUAACGAGGAACAAUUGGAGGGCAAGUCUGGUGCCAGCAGCCGCGGUAAUUCCAGCUCCAAUAGCGUAUAUUAAAGUUGUUGUGGUUAAAAAGCUCGUAGUAGAACCUUGGGCCUGGCUGGCCGGUCCGCCUCACCGCGUGCACUGGUCCGGCCGGGCCUUUCCCUCUGUGGAACCGCAUGCCCUUCACUGGGUGUGCCGGGGAAACAGGACUUUUACUUUGAAAAAAUUAGAGUGCUCCAGGCAGGCCUAUGCUCGAAUACAUUAGCAUGGAAUAAUAGAAUAGGACGUGUGGUUCUAUUUUGUUGGUUUCUAGGACCGCCGUAAUGAUUAAUAGGGACAGUCGGGGGCAUCAGUAUUCAAUUGUCAGAGGUGAAAUUCUUGGAUUUAUUGAAGACUAACUACUGCGAAAGCAUUUGCCAAGGAUGUUUUCAUUUAUCAGGAACGAAAGUUAGGGGAUCGAAGACGAUCAGAUACCGUCGUAGUCUUAACCAUAAACUAUGCCGACUAGGGAUCGGACGAUGUUAUUUUUUGACUCGUUCGGCACCUUACGAGAAAUCAAAGUGCUUGGGCUCCAGGGGGAGUAUGGUCGCAAGGCUGAAACUUAAAGAAAUUGACGGAAGGGCACCACCAGGGGUAAACAGUAGCCGUUCAAGCUCUGCCCCAGACAGCGAGCCCGUAAAGGGUCCGGUGGCCAGCCCCGAAUCGCUAGU